rnacentral:rRNA from 1 species
UACGUAGGGUCCGAGCGUUGUCCGGAUUUAUUGGGCGUAAAGAGCUCGUAGGCGGUCUGUCGCGUCGAUCGUGAAAACUUGGGGCUUAACCCUGAGCUUGCGGUCGAUACGGGCAUGACUGGAGUUCGGCAGGGGAGACUGGAAUUCCUGGUGUAGCGGUGAAAUGCGCAGAUAUCAGGAGGAACACCGGUGGCGAAGGCGGGUCUCUGGGCCGAUACUGACGCUGAGGAGCGAAAGCGUGGGGGAGCGAACAGG